ACGAUCCGCCAUAAUACAAAAGAAGAAGAAGAAAGUCUUCGGCUUCAGUUUAGUAACCGAAGUGUAAUUACGGCUGUGAAGUUAGGUUUAAGUUGGAUACUGGAUAUUCGCGCUGAUUUAGCGUUGUCUUCCUCUCGUCUAAACCGGUGAAGUUAGUCUGACGUCUGCUAGCUGCGACCGGCUGCUCGCUCCUGCACACACCGUGGUCAGCUGAUGGUUUCCAGAGAGGAGGAGGCAGUGGGAUGUUGCAGUAAGAAGGGAGAGUUGUUGCCUCUGACAGGACACUGCUCUGCAGCCAACACUUCAGGUGUGAGGACUUCAAUAGGACAGGACCGACUGUCCAGCUAACAGAUGGUGGUGUUCCAACAGUCUUCAAAGGCUGGUAGCAAGAAGAAGCAUAACCACCUGAAGACCACCUGCAGAUGGACUUGUCUCAGGAUGAACCUCAGUCUGAUAUUUUGACAAAGCAACAGGGAGCCACUGCAGAAAGACCAAAGCAGUCCACUGACCACCCAUACCCACUGUCUGCUGUCUCAAGGCUUUUUACACUAAACUGAAGGAAGCCACAGCCAGAGAGAUGAAACUGCAGCUGGAGAAGUCUAAUACCUUGGCAAGAGAAAAGAGGGCCGAGAAAAACUGUACAUAUUCUACAAGAGGACUGGACACACACAUUUGCCCUGUGUGGGAAGAUUUUAAACAUGAAGGAAGUGCGUAUGAGACCCUGGCCGCCUCCUCCCAGUGUCAGAAGACCCACUAAGAUGGUGAACAUGUGGAACUCUUUGAAUGGUCUGGAGCCGG